UAAGUUGUAUACAACAGAUAACCCUCAAACUGUGUCAUCAAAACAAUAGCCUCUCAUAAAUCUUUUUAAAAAUAUAUCCUAAGCAUCAUGUAAUCUCUAGGAUUUAUUAAUCAAAAGUACAACACCAAAAUGGUUUUUAGGCCCGAAGUGUCCAUUGCAACGCUUUUGAAACUGACCUCCUUUGUUUGUUGGAGUUGGUCUUAUAUAUUAUGCGUUGGGCUAAGACCAGGGAAAACCCCUGAAUGGUAUUCCAGGGCCGUGACGAUGGUUCAUGGGAGUGUGGCCUCAAUAAUUGCUCUGUGGCAAUGUGAUGCGUUAAACUUAACUGCAGAUCGUUUUACAGAUAAAAUAACAUUAGGGCAGUACGCUCUCAUGCUUUGGUCAUGGGGUUACUUCGCAUUCGACCUGCUGUGGUGCCUAGUAUAUUGGUCGGAUAGCUACGUCAUGCUGUGUCACCACAUAUGCGCCCUAAUCGCUAUAGAUAUAUACAUGAGCAAGGAGAAUACUGGAUGUACCUUCCCGUGUACAAUGGCUCUGAUGGAAGUUACGAAUCCUCUGUUGCAAACUAGAUGGUUCAUGAAAUCAGAAGGAUACACAAACAGUAUUUUGUACUACGUAAUAGAAGGAGUAUAUUUGCUUUUAUUUCUGUUCCUACGUGGGGUACUGGGCACAUAUUUAACUUACAACAUUCUUCACUCCGAAAUGUUUGACAUGGACGAAAAGAUGAUAACUCUGGCGUUUUACGUGGUGUCCCUUAUCUUCAUAUUUCAAAUAAUUGGCUACGUGGCUUAUAAAUAUAAGACUAAAAUUGGAAACUCCGAGCAUGGCCCUCCCCAUUGCAUGAGCUUUGUGAUAAGGCCCAUAGUUAGCGACCACGUCUGCGUACCACGUAUUGCAAUAUGAAGAUAAAUUUUUUAACUAUAUGAGAAUUGAGAAAAAACUUUUGUCUAAAAAACUUUUUACGAGAUCUUGAAUGUUGUAAAACCACAUAUUACUGGAUUCAGCCCAUUUCGGGAGUGCAUCUCUGCUGAAGAAAAAUUGGUUAUAACUUUGAGAUAUUUAGCAAGUGGGUGUUCAUUUGCAGAAAUAAGUCAUAACUUUCGAAUAGGUCACACCACAGCGCGGGAAAUUGUGUAUGAUGUUUGUAUUAAAAUAUGGCAGCUUAUGAAACACAUUGCGUUUCCUGAACCACAUGAGCCAAAAUGGUUAGAAGUGGCAGAAGGAUUUAAACAAAAUGCACAAUUUCCUAACUGCAUUGGAGCCAUUGACGGAAAACAUAUUGAAUUAAUAAAACCUGCGCAUUCCGGUUCACUAUAUUUUAAUUACAAAAACUAUUUCUCACUUGUAUUGCUUGCGAUAUGUGAUGCAGAUUAUAAAUUCAUUUAUAUAGAUGUAGGAGCCUAUGGCAAAUGCAGUGAUUCAAACAUUUUUAAAGAGUCAAUAUUCUACAGAAAACUUAUGGAUGGUCAUCUGAAUGUACCGCGUGGGACACCUAUAGAAGAAAAUGGUCCAUCCAUGCCAUUUGUUCUUGUUGGCGAUGAAGCAUUCCCGCUAACAGAAAACAUGAGACCAUAUCCUGGGAGAAA